rnacentral:pre_miRNA from 2 species
AGUGGAAUUGCUAGGUCAUAUGGUUAGUUUGUUUAACUUUUUAAGAAAUUGCCAAACCACUUUCCAAAGUGGCUAUACCAUUUUAUAUUUCCACCAGCAAC